CCUACGGGAGGCUGCAGUGAGGAAUAUUGGGCAAUGGACGCAAGUCUGAACCAGCCAUGCCGCGUGCAGGAAGACGGCUCUAUGAGGUGUAAACUGCGUUUGUAGGAGGGUAAACGCAGAUACGUGUAUCUGUCUGAAAGUACCGUACGAAUAAGGAUCGGCUAACCCCGUGCCAGCAGCCGCGGUAAUACGGAGGAUUCAAGCGUUAUCCGGAUUUAUUGGGUUGAAAGGGUGCGUAGGCGGGCGGAUAAGUUAGAGGUGAAAUCCCGCGGCUCAACUUCGGAAUUGCCUCUGAUACUGUUCGGCUAGAGUGUAGUUGCGGUAGGCGGAAUGUAUGGUGUAGCGGUGAAAUGCUUAGAUAUCAUCCAGAACACCGAUUGCGAAGGCAGCUUAC
rnacentral:rRNA from 1 species